rnacentral:lncRNA from 10 species
CUGAGACCCCCUCUGGGAGCCUUUCUUGCCAAGUCAGCUUGUCAUUCAGGUCCUGGUGUGCAGCCGCUAACUGCUCUGGCCCCGGGGCCAGCUCUCCAGCUGAAUCUGUGUCCAGGAAUGGAACCAAAGUCUCGGUCAAAGUCUCAGUCGAUUCCUGAGGCGGAGCUGACAUCUGGGAGGAAGCAGAGGACCCCAGGUGAGGAAGCCAUGGUUUAAAGCAGAGAUCACCAACUGCUGGACCACAGACCUGCACGAGUUCACGGCCUGUUAGGAACCGAGCCACACAGCAGGAGCACAUGCUCCUCUGCAGAAAGUGAUGGGGCUGCCUUGCCAGCUGGAGCCUGAAACUGUGCCCAGGUAGACAGAACUGCGAGUCCCAGGACAGCCUGGGAAGUGUUGGCUGCCUGGUAAUGGA